GAGAAAUGGAAAUUGCUGUUUUAAAGGAGAAGAUAAUCAGUGAUGCUCCUUUUAUUCCUCUAGUGAUAUUUACUGUUGCAGCAAGCCAAGCAUUUGAGCAACGGUCUUCAGAUUGCUAAGUUGCUUAUAAUUCAGAAAUAUUUUAGACUCUGUAAAGGUUUAAUGGUGAAGCUGCUAUGAAGUCUUUAACUGUAAAAUUCAUACGUGUAGUCACUGUAGCACAAGUGCAAUAUCAUGCCAGAGAAUAGCUUUGCUACUGACAAAAUGAGUGGAGAAUUAAAUUAUUUUUUCCCUGCUUAUAGAAUUCAUUUAAUAAAUUCAAUUAUCUGUAACAGAACUGUGAUGUCUGAACUUAAAAGGUGUCGCUAUACCCCACCUUCUGUCAGAGGUCAUCUUAUUUUUUAAUUCAUACAGGUUGUAAAUCAGUCAUGGCAAUAAGGACAUGUGAAGAAGAGGAUCAAAAGAAAUUAUUCAGAGCUGGAGGAGAUCCUGUUCCAUGAAAAGUGGUAGAUCCUGAUAACCAGCCCUAAACUGGUUCUAAAUGGAUUGUUUUGCCAAUCCUUGGCAAUGCUGAAAUGCAAUGCAAACACUCAAAGGACUGCCUGAUAAGGAAAGCCCUGGUCUGUUCCUAUUUAGCAGCAUUAAUAAAGCUGGAAAGACAGGCUUUCAGGAUUUUAGGUUAACUGAGACCUGUCAAAGAAGGACUUUUUAAAGCACCUACAAAAUUCCCUUCAAGACAUCGAAGCAGAGUAACUGUUUGAGCAGGGUCUGCAGCAGUUUGCUCUCAGUAUCUCCACCAAGCACCUCUUAUAGCACUGAUAGGAAAGCAGGCUUUGUGAUUUUUCCUUCUGGAUCUGUUCUGAGGCAGCCAACAGAGAAGGAGUUAACUGCUGUCCUCUUUUCUGCUGUUCCUGGCUGAAGUUGCUGGCAUCCCAUCUGGUCCAGGCUGUCCGAGCUCUUCUAGCUGUCUCUGGGGAAGGUACUACAAUACCCAGGAAUUUUAACAAUCCUAAACAGAUUGGGGCCACAUAUGGAGCAAAAUGAUUAGAUUAGAAGAAAUCCAAUCACAUUUGCUGCUCCGGCGUUACACUUUUAAGCUGUCGGGAUCAGGCUUUCUGCUCAAUUAUGGGUAUUUUACAUGCAGUUGAGAUAAAGUUGUACCACUCAUCUCUGCUUCUUGUCCCCAUAGGACCAGUAUCCAUUUUAGUGUUUGAUUGUAGAAAUGUAAUGAAUAAGUUAGCGUUACAUCUAAUAAAAUGUGCCACUUUUGUUGUAAAUUGUCAUAGCAAUGCACUGUUUGUGACAGCCAUAGUUAUACUGCAAAGGAG